AGUGAACGCUGGCGGUAGGCCUAACACAUGCAAGUCGAACGGCAGCACAGUAAGAGCUUGCUCUUACGGGUGGCGAGUGGCGGACGGGUGAGGAAUACAUCGGAAUCUACUUUUUCGUGGGGGAUAACGUAGGGAAACUUACGCUAAUACCGCAUACGACCUACGGGUGAAAGCAGGGGAUCUUCGGACCUUGCGCGAUUGAAUGAGCCGAUGUCGGAUUAGCUAGUUGGCGGGGUAAAGGCCCACCAAGGCGACGAUCCGUAGCUGGUCUGGGAGGAUGAUCAGCCACACUGGAACUGAGACACGGUCCAGACUCCUACGGGAGGCAGCAGUGGGGAAUAUUGGACAAUGGGCGCAAGCCUGAUCCAGCCAUACCGCGUGGGUGAAGAAGGCCUUCGGGUUGUAAGGCCCUUUUGUUGGGAAAGAAAAGCAGCAGGUUAAUACCCCGCUGUUCUGACGGUACCCAAAGAAUAAGCACCGGCUAACUUCGUG
rnacentral:rRNA from 1 species